rnacentral:tmRNA from 1 species
GGGGGCGAAAUAGGAUCGACGAGGGCGUAAAGGGCUCGCUUUUUCCCGGUAUUGUUCCGCCGUUAUCGGGCUACUGCAAUAGUUGCCAACGACAACUAUGCUCCGGUUGCUCAGGCUGCGUAAGGCAGUUUGAAAGACCACUUUAAAGCCCUAACGGGUUAAGCUCCGUUAGGCGGGGUUCGGAGGCACCUGGCAACAGAAGCCUCCACU